rnacentral:lncRNA from 10 species
GGGGGCUGCGGCUGUCAGGAGGGCCUCAGCAGACCCCUUCCCCAGGAAGCCAGGCUUCCGGCAGCAUCUCAAGUCCCACAGGCCUUGACUGCGACUGCUUGAAGGCUAUACAACAUUGCUUCAUUGGUCUUUGACUCUGCAGGGCAUGGUACAGUGAUCAGUGCAAAGUAAACGGCUAUUGGAUGGAAGGCAUUCAUCUCCAGUUGAGACUAACGACUUGGGACUUUGGAGUUAAUGCUGGAAUGAGUUAAUACGUUGGGGGAACUAUUGAAAAGGCAUGAUUGUAUUUUGAAAUGGCGAGAAGGACAUGAGAUUUGGGAGAACCAUACAGGCGAAACAGACGAGUCCUCACCCUCCUGGGAUCUUACAUUGGGAGAGAGGACAGACACAGAAAGAGAAGAAAAUGUCAUGUUUGAUACGCAUCAACUGCAUGGCUCACAGUAAAGUCCAGCAUGAGGAGUGACCGACCCUGCUUGAGUUGAAGGAGGGCUCCAUGGAAGAGGGCCAGGACUCCAGUGAGCCCAACCUGGUGUUUUCCAGUGUUUUCAGGAGGCAUUCAUUCUCAGGGGCCCACCUGGGCUUGUGGAAGCCCGAGAGUGUGUAUCUCCUUGAAUUUUGCACCCUGGAUGCCUUCCUUGCUCACCCUGGACCCAGCCCUGCCCUGCUUUUGAGCAAUUUGUAUUCUUGGUUUAACAAAGUGUGGAGAGGACCCUCAAGGAUCUCAGAACCUACUGGAUGAGGCAGGAAAAUAAAAAGACACAGAGUGUGCUGUGUGAUCAGCAGAGAUGAAGAAAGCUUCCUUAGUGAAGGAGGAGAAUUACAGAGCAGCGCCAGCGUUGGGGAAACAUGCUCAACUUCCAGCAGUCAUUCCCGCUCGCCUCCUUUCUCUUUGCUCGAGGUCUUCGGUUCAGGCUCCACAACUGAUUGAUGCUGUUUUCCUGUUAGUAUCUCUUUUUCAUCAUGCACGAUCCUCCAUAGUGAUGGAAUGGAGACAGCUUCUCAGAGAAAGCACAGCUUUGGAAGCUUCAGCCAGACACCGUACAAGGGACAGGGGAGACUGAGAUGAAGAACACUCGGUGCUUCUUCCCAAGGCACUCGCAAUCUCGGAGAAGACAGAUGUGUACUCACACAGAUGCAUAUGCUACAGCACUGUGUGAUGAUGCUAUACAUGCACAAAGUGACCGGGAACAGAGCGGCCGUCCCUGGCGACUCAGGGGAGGCAUCACACGAGAGAUGACUUUAGAACCGGGCCUUUAAAGGAAACACAGGAUCUCUGCAGCAGUCAAGAAGGGGAAGAGAAGACUUGGUGUUAAAAAAUCAUGGGUUCAGGACAUACUGCCCCACAAUAUGGCACUUUGGCAUGUUGAAUAUUUUAAGCUAGAGGAAUUUGAGAAAACAGCAGAAGCAGGAAGGUCCCCUGAGGCGGUCCCCUGAAGUGGUCAUAAACUUUGGGAAGGACUCUGACCUUCUGAAGCAGGUCAUAAGACCCUCGUGUGAGAGUUGCCCUUCCUGUAGCUGGAGGAAAGGGGCAUCCUUAUCUCUCAAGACAAAAGGAGACAGAGAGGAAUCCAGAAAAACAAGCCUUGCUAAGCUUCCCCAGUUCACCACACUUACAUUGUACUCUCUGCCCUGUGAUAUUUCUCCAUGACUUUCCCCUCCUUAUCAAACCUAUUAUUAAAAACACUCCCAUUUAACUGUUUCUUCAGAUCCUCAUUUCCUUAUGAAGGCUCUCUCGUCACAUAAAACUUGUAUUAAAUAAAUUUGUAAGCUUUUUCUCUUGUUAAUCUGUCUUUUGUUACAGAGGCCCCAGUCAUAAAUGUAGGAGGUAUAUUAGUCUGAUCUCACACUGCUAAUAAAGACAGAGUAAUUUAUAAAGAAAAAGAAGUUUAAUGGGCUCAUAGUUUUACAUGGCUGAGGAGGCCUUACAAUCAUGGCGGAAGGCAAAGAAGGAGCAAAUAUACAUCUUACAUGGCUGCAGACAAGAGAGAGUGAGAGCCAAGAGAAAGGGGAAACCACUUAUAAAACCAUCAGAUCUCAUAAGACUUAUUCGCUACCACAGAACAGUGGAAACUGUCCCCAUGAUUCAAUUAUCUCCCACCAGGUCCCUCUCUCAACAUGUAGGAAUUAUGGGAACUACAAUUCAAGAUGAGAUUUGGGUGGGGACACAGCCAAACCAUAUCAGGAGGAUAGAAGGAAAAGAUGUUUUUUCCUCCCCUAAAAUAGUUUAGGGCAGCAAGUCAAUUUCAAUCACUUUUCAUCGUGUUUACCUCAAUGCAAAGAGAUCCAUGUGUGAAAGGUUUAUGAAAUUACAAAAUAUGUCAUUAAUUCUUUCAAUCAGGUGAUAAAUGUCUUCAACAUACCCAGCUCUGUGCUCUGGGUGUCUUGCAUGUGACAUUAGCUGCUAUUCGUAAAAACUGGGGGCGUCAGGCCACACAGAAAGCCCACGUCAUUUAUAUCUGGAGUCAGGCAAGCCGUCCACCCCUCACUGAGGCUGAUGCAGAAAUCUUCCAGGAAAGGGCUCUGCUUAUUUUCUGAGUCUCAAAUUCCCAGGGGUACCAACUGUGUUCUAGCUCAAGUUUUAGAGACAAGGAGAACAUAAAUCCAUCCAACUAUGGGGCCAGGGGAGUUCUGAUUUUGGUGUUUGCUCUUUAAUCAAUAGCAUUAUGCUUUUCUAUGGAAAGGUCUUAAUUUGAUACUUUCCCAGAGGAGUCAUUGGUUUGACGUGGACAUAUCACAAACUUCCUGACUACCAUGGAGACAGGGCCGGCUUCCCAAAGGAAUGGUGAUUCUGCUUUCUUUACUUUUCCUUUGUAUCAAAAGCCAGGAAUGAGCUUGGUUUUCAUCAUAGCUUCAAAG